GGGGCCUGGGAACAUUUAGCACAUUUAGCAAUGUCUUGUAAGGCAGAUAGUGCUCCAGGUGUUUUUCUAGGUAAUAGCUCAAAGACUCUUCAAGCACAGCUGGGUUAACCUCAUCAGAUAGGGGUAAAAGUGUUAAUGGUUUUUCUGGGGAGGUUGGCUUAGCAGACAAAGACAGAGUGGUCUCUUUGUAUGGUAGUAAGAGCGCUGGUUCUGUGGGCAGGGGUUUCAAUGGAAUUUAGGUGCUCAGUGUCCUUUGGUUCCUGAUUAUCUUCCCACAUGUCCCCAUUCCAAGUUUCAGGAUCCCAUUUAUUCCCAAUUAACUGCAGACACCAUUCGAGGCUGGAAAUUAAAAUGGAAUUGUAAUUCAGCCACUCUUAGGAUAAGACUCUGGGUUUGGUUUUUGGCAAUAUCAGCUCUAUUGCCACAAGAAAUAAGGUUUUCUUUCAGGGCACAAGUGGCAAUUUUGAGGUCUUUUUUGCACUGUUUGAGCCCUGAGCUCAUCUCUUUGUUCUACCACUUUGUCUAGAGAGUAGGACCAACCAACCAGCUUUCCUAUACUUCUCAUUCUGACAAAAUUGUAGAAAAGUAUCAAACAUGUGAUCACUCAAAGCCUCGCCUCUCAUCAAUACUUGAUCUAUUGGUGGUGAUAUUUUGUGUAUUAAUAUUUCCUCCUCAUGCCAUGGAUUAGCAGUGCCCUCCUUACUACUGAAGGCAGAGUCAUCAAUGCCUUUAAGACUAGUCAGACUUGAGAACCAAUUUAGAAAACUCAUCCUUGUAAUUUUAUUUCUCUAGAACCACUCUUGGUACCAAAUGUCUUAGGUUGGGUUCUCUAGAGAAGCAAAACCAGUGAAGCAUAUAUAUGUAUGUAUGUAUGCACAGAGAGAGAGAGAGAUCAAAGAAAUGGCUCAUACAGUUGUAGAGGCUGGCAAGUUCCAUGUCUGUGGGUCAGGCAUCAGGCUGGAGGCUUCUUCUGACUCAUGUAGUGCAUGGGCUGACACCCCCAAGAUCAGCAGGUCAGAGAGCAUGCUGCUGUCUCAUGGGCUUCAGAGGCUGAAAAAUACCAAGAUUGGCAGGUAAAACAGGCUGCAGAGGCUGGCGAAUCUCAAGAUCAGCAGGCAAUAUGGCAGGCAGCUGGCUCAAGUGCUAAGAACUGGAGGUCAGAUGAUGAAGAACUGGAUUCAGGAUCCAGAGCAAGCAAGCGAGCUUUGCCAGAAAAUCUGUCUCUCUCUCUCUCUCUAGGAUGCAAGCCACACCCCCCUGAAAACUCCCUUUACAACUGAUUGGCUUAUCACGUCAGAUUACAUCAUGGAGGAUGUAUACAUUAUUACAUAACUUCCAAAAUACAUUAUUACAUAACUGCCAAAUUGCAUCAUUACAUAGCUGCCAAACCACUGAGAACAUGGCCCAGCCAAGUUGACGCACGGCCUUAACCAUCACAGUCAGAUAACGAGAUAGCGGGUAGAUGACGAGUGGUGUAUUAUAUGACAGACUAAAGUCACACUAGCUUGUGAGUGAUUGUUAAAUAUUCAGGAAUUUUGCCAGCUGUAUUUCUUGAAAUUAGCCACGGAGGUAGUAUUUACACCAUGGGAAUCAGCAGAUUUUAUAAAUGAAGGUUUUUUUUUUUUUUGGUUACUUGUCCUUUUUUCCACAGAGUCUGUUUAUGAAGCAUGUAUCUUAAACAACAUUGGUACUUACCAGUUUGUGAGCUUGGGAAUGUCAUUUAAACUCUCAGCUCUCACUAUGCAAAACUUAGAAAACAUAAAAAGUCCAGAAAAGAGGAUGGAAAUCAUUGACAAUUCUACCACUCAAAGACAACCAUGAUUAAUGCUUGGAUGUAUUUCUCAGCAUGUUUUUUUUUUUGGAUUAUUUAACGUUAUUAUUAAAAAAAAUUUUUUUAUUGUGCAUUAGAUGAAAGUUUACAGAGCAAAUUAGUUUCCCAUUCGGUAGUUUGUACGUAAGUGUUCUGUGACAUUGGUUUCAUUCCCCACAAUGUAUCAGCACUCUCCCCAUUUCUGCCCUACCCUCCCUGUUUCUGUUCGUCCUGUUUUUAACCUGCUCCUGCCUUUUCAUCUUUCCUUUUGGGCAAAUGUUGCCUUUUGAUUUCAUAUAAUUAAUUGUGUUAAGGAGCACAUUCCUCUCAGGUGUUAUUAUUUAUUUAUGGGCCUGUCUAUGGUUUGGCUUAACGGUCGUCCCCAGGAACAGCUUCAGUUCCAGUACAGAAGGGUGUUUUAGGGCCAUAAUUUCAGGGGUUCCUCCAGUCUCUGUCAGACCACUAAGUCUGAUCUUUUGUGUCAAUUUGAUUUUUUGCUCUACGAUUUUUCUCCCCCUCUGUCUGGGGCCCUCUGUUGUGAUUCCAAUCAGAGUGGUCGGUAGUGGUAGCCCAGCACCGUGUAGUUCUUCUGGUCUUGGGGUUGUAUAGACUGUGGUUCAUGUGGUCCAUUAAUCCUCUGGACUAAUUGCUCCCUUGAGUCUUUGGUUUUCUUCAUUCUCUGGACAGUGAGAGACCAAUAGUUUUACCUUAGUUGGCCGCUCACAACCUCGUCCGAUCCCAGACAAUACUCACCAAAGUAAGAUAUGGAUCUUUGUUUUUAUGAAUUAUAUUGUGCCAAUUUUUUUUUUUUUUUUAAUUGACGUAGAUGUCUCUUGAGUCUAUGGUCCUUCACCUUUAAGCCUAGAAACUUUGUCCUGUGAGGUGUUUGAUUAUGUCUAAAAAGUUGCCCUGACUGUGGCUCUUGUGUGCUGUAUUGUCUAUAUUAAUAUACAAGCAGCACCUACAGUUCUGUGUGUAGCAAUAUACACCACCAGACCUAUGUCUGCAGAUGGGUGUGUUCCCUUAUGCCCUCCCACACCUCUUGUCUUCUAGCUAUGUAUCCAUUUGUAAAUUAUUGUUUGUUAAUACUAUUGUUGUAGGAUUGUCUAUGCUAUAGUAAUUACUGUCGUUGCCCUUUGUUCUUGCAUUCCUCUAAUGUCCUUCCUUGUCUUGUUCAUGUGUUGCUGACUUCCCCCAUAUCAUGUAUUGCCUUUCCUUUCACUAAUAUUGACAUGUACCUUUUAUCUAUUUGGUAAUUUUCCCUCCCUUACCCUCCAAUCUACAGUGACCAUAGAACAAUUUUUUUUUCCCCCUGUGUGUAAACCUUUUCUUGUUUCUUUAUAAUAGUGGUCUCAUACAACAUUUGUUCCCUUGUGAUUGACUUAUUUCACUCAGCAUAAUGUCCUCCAAAUUUAUCCAUGUUGUGAGAUGUUUUGCGGGUUUGUCAUUAUUCUUUAUCAUUACGUAGUGCUCCGCUGCGUGUAUGUACCAUAGUUCGUGAAUCCAUUCAUCUGUUGAUGGGCACUUAGUUUGUUUCCAUCUUUUUGCUAUUGUGAAUAAUGCUGCAGUGAGCAUGGGUGUGCACAUGUCUAUUCUUGUCAUGGCUCUUAUUUCUUUAAGGUAUAUACUCAGGAGUGGGAUUGCUAGGUCAUAUGGUAUUUCUAGCUUUUUAAGGAAGUGCCAUGCCAUUUUCCAUAGUGGUUGUGCCAUUUUACAUUCCCACCAGCAGUGUGUAAGAGUUCCAAUCUCCCCAACAUUUAUAAUUUUCUGGCAGUUCCAGUUAUUUUGGGGUAUAUUUCUCAACCUCUAUGUUAUGCAUUUCACUUAUAUAUCUGAGAUUAUACAUUUGUGCAUCCUCCUUUUAAAAAAAUCCUCCUCAUAUAAGUAUUUCUUGUGUCAUUAAAAUUAUUUGAAGAUUUGUUUUUAAUGGCUAUGUAAUAGCCCAUCAUUUGCAUUAAAUGAUUGACCUGAUCUGCAUUAUAAAUAAUGCUGCAGAAUGUUCUUUUUCUGCAUUUGUAGUUGUUUUCUUAGAUUAUAGUCUCAGAAGAGGAAGUACUAAAUUGCUUUUUGAAGCUCAAAUACAAGUUGUUUUCCAAAAUGUUUGUACUAGUUUAUAUUCCUCCCAACAGAGAUGGAACACUUCUUUUGAUCUUAUUCACUAUGUGGACCAAAUUAAGAGCUCUGUUUUAACUCAGAAACCAGCAUUUUGGCAUGUUUCGUUUGGAUGCAUAAGGAUGUCUGUUUGUUGCCUGAUAGCUUUAGACAGAGGUGACCAAAUUUGGAGUGUCAAAAAAAAGUUUAGUAUCAAGACAACUCCUGAAGCUUUACUGGUGGAGACUGCCCAACUUGAAUAAAAACGAUAGCCAUAUUCUUUUAAAAUGCCAACCCUUUGUAAUUUCAUCACAAUAAAAUUUGAAACAUAGGUAGAGUUGGGUAUAUGACCCUACUGAGUGAGGAUGAUGGUGACAGUUUAUUGCAGGGCAGUGGUGGCUGAAGUAAUUAACUCCCAUGCUUUACUGACCUUUCACUGGGGACAUGUGGUCUUCCUCUUCCAUCCGAGGUGGUGAUAUGGUGGGCAGUGAGAAGCAGGAGUUUGUAAGGAGGAUGCAUCCAAGAUUGUACCUUUCCUUUUAUUAAAGAAAAAUUUAAAACAACGGCAGCACCAUUUUAUUCUUAUUAUUUUUGUUCUUAUUCUUCAAGUUUGAUUCUUAUUACAAAGGUGCACAUGCUCAAUGCAGGUAAUUAAAAAAAUAUGUUGUUGUUAGUUACCGUUGAGUCAACUCUGACUCAUGGCAAUCCCAUGGACAACAGAACGAGAUGUUGCCAGGUCCUGUGCUAUCUUCAGGACCAUGUGCUUGAAUCCAUCGUUAUGGCGUAUUUUGAGUACCUUCCAACCUAGGGGGCUCAUCUUCCAGCAAUGCAUCAGAUAAUAUCCUGUUGUGAUCCAUAGGGUUUUUGUUGGCUAAUUUUCACAAGCAGAUCACCAGGCCUUUCUAGUGUGGCUUAGUUCGGCAGCUCCACUGAAACUUGUUCACCAUGAGUGACCGUACUGGUAUUUGAAAUACUAGAGACAUAGCUUCUAACGUGACAGCAACAUGCAAGCCGUCAAUGUUCAUAUGACAAACUGACAGACUAGUAUUGUUAGAGAUAUAAUAUACAACAUAUAUAAUAUAUAAAUAUAUAAUUUAAAAUAAAUUAUAUAAUUUUAUAACUAGUGGUGUUAUAAAAAUACAUAGACAAUUUAAAGUAAGCAUUACUUAUUGAUUAUAUUCUUCCAGUCUUUUUUUCUAUGUGUAAUUUUUAUUUUUUGCCUAUGAAACAUUAAGCCUAAAAGGCAGGCUAUACAUGAUGUUGUAUACUCUCCUUUUUGGGUUCUCUAUUUUACUUCCCUUAAGCAGAAUAGACUGUAAAUGACUCUCCAUGUCAUUUAAUAACUCUGUAAACAUCUUUUUAAAUGUUUGCCCAGUAUUCUAUAAAUGGAUAUACUAUUUUUAUUUAAGCCAUCACUUUGGUUGGAUUUUCUUUUUAUCAUGUGUUUUACAUUAGUGUCGAUAAUACUUUUUGUCCACUGAACUCUGGGUUUUAUAGCUAGCAGCCUUGUUUGGGAACAGUUCAGAAAGAAGCUGACUCAAUCUUGGAAGGUCCCAGCUGACUGACUCCAAGAUAGAUUCUUGUGGCUGCCCUGUCCAUUUCUUCUUCUUUCCUCUCUGAUCAUUCUCAUGUCUUCCUCUCUCAGGACUAUAAAAGAGGGAAGUUCAGAGCUCUCUGUCUUCCUCCACUCACUCUGUCUUACCCUCUGUCUUAGGACCCACGGAGCCUGAGGCUGAGAUUCUCUCACUAUACCACGCUGCCAUCUCCACUCUCCUCUUUGUUUAAAGUAAUAAGAGACACAGUUGAGAGUAAGAUGGAACUAUGAGGAUUAGCAUGAGGAAUGUAGUCACUUGACUGACCCCUGCCAACCUCCAAUUAUCUAUUGAUUCUCAGAAAAAAAAAAAGUGUUCUUGCUCUGAGGUGAGAGCAGGUCCUGACAUUGAGGGGCUUCUGGAAGGCCCAAGGAGCAGUCUAUCAGACUUCUGGUGACAGAAGGACAUGCCCCUCCCAGUCUCCCAUCCUGCCCUCAACAGAUUUCCAAGUAACGCAUUUUAACCUUAAAACUAUCCCAUUUUGUUUACUUCUUAUCGUACCCUGUGUCACAGUUAAAUAUUGUAAUUCCAUCUUGCUUACAAGGAAAAUUUUGGUUAUUUUAAUUGUUUUUCAGCGAUGAAUUUAAAUUGUCUACUGCCAGCAGCCUUCCACAUCUGACCUCCCUAGACCACAUUAAAGAUAAUAACAAUGGCUAGCAUUUACUAUGUACCAGGCCCUGUUCUAAGUACCUCCUGUUGUUGUAGUCAGCUGCCUUUAAGUCCCCUGCCCCUGACUCAUGGAGACCCCAUGCACAAUGGAAGAAAUGCUGCCUGGGCCUGCUCCAUCCCUGUGAUCAGCUAUGGAUUGAACUGGACCGUUGUGAUCCAUAGGGUUUUCAUUGGCUGAUUUUCAGAAGUGAUUGCCAGGCCUUUCUUCCUCAUCCAUCUUAAUCUGGAAGCUCCACUGAAAGCUCUUCAGCUUCAUAGCAACGUGCAAGCCUCCACUGACAGACGGGUGGUAGCCGUGCAUGAGAUGUAUUGGCCGGAUCACCCACAUGGGAGGGGAUGAUUCUACCACUGAACCACA